rnacentral:rRNA from 1 species
AGCAGCCGCGGUAAUUCCAGCUCCAAUAGCGUAUAUUAAAGUUGUUGCAGUUAAAAAGCUCGUAGUUGAAUUUCGGGAUCAAUAUAUCGGUCGUGCCUUUGGUACGUACUGGUAUCAUUGAUUUCUCCCUUCUGACGAAUCAUGAUGUCAUUAAUUUGGUGUUAUGAGGAGUUAGGACUGUUACUUCGAAAAAAUUGAGUGUUUAAAGCAGGCAUUAGCUUGAAUACAUUAGCAUGGAAUAAUGAAAUAGGACGUUUGACCCUAUUUUGUGGUUUCUAGGAUCGACGUAAUGAUUAAUAGGGAUAGUUGGGGGCAUUAGUAUUCAAUUGUCAGAGGUGAAAUUCUUGGAUUUAUUGAAGACUAACUACUGCGAAAGCAUUUGCCAAGGAUGUUUUCAUUAAUCAAGAACGAAAGUUAGGGAUCGAAGACGAUCAGAUACCGUCGUAGUCUUAACCAUAAACUAUGCCGACUAGGGAUCGGAUGAUGUUAUUUAUAUGACUCAUUC